rnacentral:rRNA from 1 species
UACGGAGGAUGCUAGCGUUAUCCGGAUUCAUUGGGUUUAAAGGGUGCGUAGGCGGACUAAUAAGUCAGUGGAGAAAUUUUGCAGCUUAACUGUAAACGAGCCGUUGAUACUGUUAGUCUUGAGUAUGGUCAAGGUAGGUGGAAUGUGUAAUGUAGCGGUGAAAUGCUUAGAUAUUACACAGAACACCGAUUGCGAAGGCAGCUUACUGGGCCACCACUGACGCUGAUGCACGAAAGCGUGGGGAGCGAACAGG